rnacentral:rRNA from 1 species
GACGAACGCUGGCGGCGUGCUUAACACAUGCAAGUCGAACGGAAAGGCCCUGCUUUUGUGGGGUGCUCGAGUGGCGAACGGGUGAGUAACACGUGAGUAACCUGCCCUUGACUUUGGGAUAACUUCAGGAAACUGGGGCUAAUACCGGAUAGGAGCUCCUGCUGCAUGGUGGGGGUUGGAAAGUUUCGGCGGUUGGGGAUGGACUCGCGGCUUAUCAGCUUGUUGGUGGGGUAGUGGCUUACCAAGGCUUUGACGGGUAGCCGGCCCGAGAGGGUGACCGGCCACAUUGGGACUGAGAUACGGCCCAGACUCCUACGGGAGGCAGCAGUGGGGAAUAUUGCACAAUGGGCGGAAGCCUGAUGCAGCAACGCCGCGUGCGGGAUGACGGCCUUCGGGUUGUAAACCGAUUUCGCCUGUGACGAAGCGUGAGUGACGGUAAUGGGUAAAGAAGCACCGGCUAACUACGUG